AUUGAACGCUGGCGGCAGGCCUAACACAUGCAAGUCGAACGGUAACAGGAAACAGCUUGCUGUUUCGCUGACGAGUGGCGGACGGGUGAGUAAUGUCUGGGAAACUGCCUGAUGGAGGGGGAUAACUACUGGAAACGGUAGCUAAUACCGCAUAACAUCGCAAGACCAAAGAGGGGGACCUUCGGGCCUCUUGCCAUCGGAUGUGCCCAGAUGGGAUUAGCUAGUAGGUGGGGUAACGGCUCACCUAGGCGACGAUCCCUAGCUGGUCUGAGAGGAUGACCAGCCACACUGGAACUGAGACACGGUCCAGACUCCUACGGGAGGCAGCAGUGGGGAAUAUUGCACAAUGGGCGCAAGCCUGAUGCAGCCAUGCCGCGUGUAUGAAGAAGGCCUUCGGGUUGUAAAGUACUUUCAGCGGGGAGGAAGGGAGUAAAGUUAAUACCUUUACUCAUUGACGUUACCCGCAGAAGAAGCACCGGCUAACUCCGUG
rnacentral:rRNA from 1 species